rnacentral:lncRNA from 1 species
AUUCAAAGAGGUUGAGAAAAUAUUUUUGUAUUUUUUGAAUAUCAAAAACUAUUUAAAAUGAAUUAAAAAUAACCAGAAAAGAGAAAAUUAUUAAAAAAUAGCAAAUGAUAAAAUAAAAAAUAUUAAAAAUCAUUUUUAGAAAGUAGAAAAUAAAAGAGAAAUAAUGCAAUUGGUCCCAUAAUUUUUGGAUCAAUAAUGAAAGAGAUGUGGAUUUUAGAAAAUGAAAUGGAAUUAAA